UCCUUUGAGGAGGCAUGACACAGUCACUUGUCCUUUUAAAGAUUGUGAGUUGACAACCAAUGUCCUUUCAACUUUUAGUAGCCACAUAUCUCGGAAGCAUAAAUCUGAAGGUUUUAACUUUUUCUGUGUCUUUCAUGCUUCUGGUGUGCUGCUCAAAAUAAACCUACAGCUCUCAAAAGUCUACCUUUGUUUAUGAGGGGAAAAGUCUGGAAACUUUCUGAAGUCUUGCCUGGACACAGACCCAGAAGACACUCACACAAAAGGGAUGAAGAAGGGGGUCUUAACUGUCGUUGAAGAUGACGUUGCCACCAUCCAUUCAAACCCAAAUGUAAGGUGCCUGUCUGUAGUUUUAGAGGAGCAAGUUGUGCUGGAUAAUGUGCAAGACGUCCCUACAGCUGUUGCUCUCCUAUUUGACUUGAUUUAUGCCAUCAAAAUCAUUAGCUAUCCUGAAGAACUAAAAUACACUUUUGAAACUAUUCAGAAAGUGUUUAUUGGCCUUGACCACCAGUGCUCUGCAAGAGUCCAGUGAUUCAAAACAAAUUGG